AUAGGCACCCGCCACCACGCCCGGCUAAUUUUUUGUAUUCACAGUACAGACGGGGUUUCACCGUGUUAGCCAGGAUGGUUUCGAUCUCCUGACCUCGUGAUCCGCCCGCCUCUGCCUCCCAAAGUGCUGGGAUUACAGGCGUGAGCCACCGCGCCCGGUGGAAAGGACACUUUUUUACAGUAUGAGCACUGAAACAAAAAGGCAAAGCAAGGUCUGUUCACCUUCAGCUGAGAACGUGAGGAUUGGAAUGUAUAGUGGACUUUGUUAUCUGUACCCAGCUCCCCCUUCAGGCGUGGAGGAUUGUCACUCCAGCUGCUGGCUGUGCUGCCGUCUGAUAGCUCUCAGCUGUCAGCUCUCUUCAGGAUUCUCUCUGCUCACAACAGGCACCUUGUCCAAG
rnacentral:lncRNA from 10 species